rnacentral:rRNA from 1 species
GCUGGCGGUAGGCUUAACACAUGCAAGUCGAGCGGUAACAGGCAUUUUGAUUCAGCUUGCUGAAUCUCGCGCUGACGAGCGGCGGACGGGUGAGUAACGCGUAGGAAUCUACCUAGUAGAAGGGGAUAGCCCGGGGAAACUCGGAUUAAUACCGUAUACGUCCUUAGGGAGAAAGAGGGCUUAGCUUUGAUGCUCUCGCUAUUAGAUGAGCCUGCGUAAGAUUAGCUUGUUGGUGAGGUAAAGGCUCACCAAGGCUACGAUCUUUAGCUGGUCUGAGAGGACGAUCAGCCACAUUGGGACUGAGACACGGCCCAGACUCCUACGGGAGGCAGCAGUGGGGAAUAUUGGACAAUGGGCGCAAGCCUGAUCCAGCCAUACCGCGUGUGUGAAGAAGGCCUUCGGGUUGUAAAGCACUUUAAGUAAGGAAGAAAAGUAUAUUGUUAAUACCAAUGUACCGUGACAUUACUUACAGAAUAAGGACCGGCUAAUUCCGUGCCA